GGGGAAUUUUGCGCAAUGCUCGUAAGAGUGACGCAGCGACGCCGCGUGAAUGACGAAGGCCUUCGGGUCGUAAAGUUCUUUCGACAGGGAAGAAAAUGCCUAUAAGUAACUGUGUAUGUAUUGACGGUACCUGUAUAAGCAGCCCCGGCUAACUUCC
rnacentral:rRNA from 1 species